UGUUCGCAUCCUUUCUCUCUCUCUCAGGCUCCAGGUCAGCUCGUGUGCUCCUCCCACCUCGUCGGCGGCAAGCCGGUUGCCAGCUCCUCCCCGACCGGUUAUGCGACGUCGUGCGAACCUACAAAUCUUCAACAUGAGAUUAAUUCCCCAAUGCUUCUCAUUGAUGAUUCCAGUACACCGAAAAAGAAACAAUCGUUCUCUCAAGUGGUACACACACUUUUGAAUAUUAUGCAAUAUAAUUUCUUACCUUUUUCCAUGUUAAAGUCCAUGAUUCAGUCAUGUGUGAUAGGACAGUAUACAACCUUAUCAUGUGUCAUGUCUAUUGCCGGCCAUAGGUGCCGAACUAGUACGAGAUAAAGUAAACAACUGAGAGAUUUCCAUGUCCAUGGUUAAAACUAUAAGGUCCCUGUUGUUUUCUAUCGCUGGUCACAACCUGUAAUACUCGCUAGAUAGGCAUUACAUGUGGUGAAUACCGAAUAGUAAUUGAAUUUAGGUUGGUUGAAAGUAUAUGUUUUGGUUGUGAUAGAAAAUGAGAUCUCAUAAGUGCAUAACAUGUAUUUUUUACUAAAUAAUUUUUACUGCUAACCAUUCUGGCCCAGCACAGAGAAAAGAUUGGUUAUGGAGAGAGAGUUGCAGUGGCCGUGGUUGGGUGGGUGUGAUCGUUGGUAUGACGAAACAAAGAUCACCUGCAGUGCACCAUAGUAAGUAGCAAAUCGUACCCAUGGCUGGCGCAACGGCGUGGAGCAGGCUGCAGGGUCGGGGUGGUGCUGUGACGUGUGCAUCACAACAGAAGAAGCUUGAUGAGCAAAAAGUACUAGAACUGGAGGCAAAGGCUGGAGGCAAGCUAGCAAAGUUGAUGCAGUUUUUUAAUGGCAACGCUUCUUGAGCUGUGAUUAGUUUAGUCAUUCAUACUUAGUCUUACCCAUGAUGUACGCAAAAUUAUCCUCUCAAGCAAUGUAAUAUGUAUGUCUGUCU